GCCGCCCCACCUGACGCCGCGCGGGAGCGGUUCUUCUGUGGCCGCCACGAGGGGGCGCCCGUGCCUGCCGAGAGAGAUGGAGAAAGAUGAGACAGAGACUGGAAAGAGCUAGAGAUUCUAAAGAGACAAUUGGCUGCAAAGAGCUCAUAAAUUCAUUCAUUCUGGGCUUCCCUGGUGGCGCAGUGGUUGAGAGUCCGCCUGCUGAUGCAGGGGACACGGGUUCGAGCCCUGGUCUGGGAAGAUCCCACAUGCCACGGAGCAACUAGGCCCGUGAGCCACAACUACUGAGCCUGCGCGUCUGGAGCCUGUGCUCCACAACAAGAGAGGCCACGAUAGUGAGAGGCCCGUGCACCGCGAUGAAGAGUGGCCUCCGCUUGCCACAACUAGAGAAAGCCCUCGCACAUAAACGAAGACCCAACACAGCCAAAAAUAAAUAAAUAAAUAAAUAAAUAAAUAA